AACAGGAUUAGAUACCCUGGUAGUCCAUGCCGUAAACGAUGAGUGCUAGGUGUUGGAGGGUUUCCGCCCUUCAGUGCCGGAGCUAACGCAUUAAGCACUCCGCCUGGGGAGUACGACCGCAAGGUUGAAACUCAAAGGAAUUGACGGGGGCCCGCACAAGCGGUGGAGCAUGUGGUUUAAUUCGAAGCUACGCGAAGAACCUUACCAGGUCUUGACAUCUUGCGCUAACCUAAGAGAUUAGGCGUUCCCUUCGGGGACGCAAUGACAGGUGGUGCAUGGUCGUCGUCAGCUCGUGUCGUGAGAUGUUGGGUUAAGUCCCGCAACGAGCGCAACCCUUGUUACUAGUUGCCAGCAUUCAGUUGGGCACUCUAGUGAGACUGCCGGUGACAAACCGGAGGAAGGUGGGGACGACGUCAGAUCAUCAUGCCCCUUAUGACCUGGGCUACACACGUGCUACAAUGGUCGGUACAACGAGUCGCUAACCCGCGAGGGCAAGCUAAUCUCUUAAAGCCGAUCUCAGUUCGGACUGUAGGCUGCAACUCGCCUACACGAAGUCGGAAUCGCUAGUAAUCGCGGAUCAGCAUGCCGCGGUGAAUACGUUCCCGAGCCUUGUACACACCGCCCGUCACACCAUGGAAGUUUGUAACGCCCAAAGUCGGUGGCCUAACCAUUUGGAGGGAGCCGCCUAAGGCGGGACAGAUGACUGGGGUGAAGUCGUAACAAGGUAACC
rnacentral:rRNA from 1 species